rnacentral:rRNA from 1 species
GCCUCGUGAACUCAUCUUCGGGGGUAGAGCACUGUUUCGGCUAGGGGGCCAUCCCGGCUUACCAACCCGAUGCAAACUACGAAUACCGAAGAAUGUUAUCACGGGAGACACACGGCGGGUGCUAACGUCCGUCGUGAAGAGGGAAACAACCCAGACCGCCAGCUAAGGUCCCAAAGUCAUGGUUAAGUGGGAAACGAUGUGGGAAGGCACAGACAGCCAGGAUGUUGGCUUAGAAGCAGCCAUCAUUUAAAGAAAGCGUAAUAGCUCACUGGUCGAGUCGGCCUGCGCGGAAGAUGUAACGGGGCUAAACCAUGCACCGAAGCUGCGGCAGCGACACUAUGUGUUGUUGGGUAGGGGAGCGUUCUGUAAGCCGUUGAAGGUGUGCUGUGAGGCAUGCUGGAGGUAUCAGAAGUGCGAAUGCUGACAUAAGUAACGAUAAAGCGGGUGAAAAGCCCGCUCGCCGGAAGACCAAGGGUUCCUGUCCAACGUUAAUCGGGGCAGGGUGAGUCGACCCCUAAGGCGAGGCCGAAAGGCGUAGUCGAUGGGAAACAGGUUAAUAUUCCUGUACUUGGUGUUACUGCGAAGGGGGGACGGAGAAGGCUAUGUCAGCCGGGCGACGGUUGUCCCGGUUUAAGCAUGUAGGCGGAGGUUCCAGGUAAAUCCGGUACCUUAUUAACGCUGAGGUGUGAUGACGAGGCACUACGGUGCUGAAGUGAUAAAUGCCCUGCUUCCAGGAAAAGCCUCUAAGCAUCAGGUAACACGAAAUCGUACCCCAAACCGACACAGGUGGUCAGGUAGAGAAUACCAAGGCGCUUGAGAGAACUCGGGUGAAGGAACUAGGCAAAAUGGUGCCGUAACUUCGGGAGAAGGCACGCUGAUAUGUAGGUGAAGUCCCUGCGGGCGGAGCUGAAAUCAGUCGAAGAUACCAGCUGGCUGCAACUGUUUAUUAAAAACACAGCACUGUGCAAACACGAAAGUGGACGUAUACGGUGUGACGCCUGCCCGGUGCCGGAAGGUUAAUUGAUGGGGUUAGCGGCAACGCGAAGCUCUUGAUCGAAGCCCCGGUAAACGGCGGCCGUAACUAUAACGGUCCUAAGGUAGCGAAAUUCCUUGUCGGGUAAGUUCCGACCUGCACGAAUGGCGUAAUGAUGGCCAGGCUGUCUCCACCCGAGACUCAGUGAAAUUGAACUCGCUGUGAAGAUGCAGUGUACCCGCGGCAAGACGGAAAGACCCCGUGAACCUUUACUAUAGCUUGACACUGAACACUGGUCCUUGAUGUGUAGGAUAGGUGGGAGGCUUUGAAGCGUGGACGCCAGUCUGCGUGGAGCCAUCCUUGAAAUACCACCCUUUAAUGGCUGGUGUUCUAACGUAGACCCGUUAUCCGGGUUGCGGACAGUGUCUGGUGGGUAGUUUGACUGGGGCGGUCUCCUCCCAAAGAGUAACGGAGGAGCACGAAGGUUGGCUAAUCCUGGUCGGACAUCAGGAGGUUAGUGCAAUGGCAUAAGCCAGCUUGACUGCGAGCGUGACGGCGCGAGCAGGUGCGAAAGCAGGUCAUAGUGAUCCGGUG